rnacentral:rRNA from 1 species
UACGGGGGGGGCAAGCGUUGUUCGGAAUUACUGGGCGUAAAGGGCGCGUAGGCGGCCUGCUAAGUCGGACGUGAAAUCCCUCGGCUCAACCGAGGAACUGCGUCCGAUACUGGUGGGCUUGAAUCCGGGAGAGGGAUGCGGAAUUCCAGGUGUAGCGGUGAAAUGCGUAGAGAUCGGGAAGAAUACCCGUGGCGAAGGCGGCCAGCUGGGCCAGGUCCGACACUGAGGCGCGAAAGCGUGGGGAGCAAACAGG